AAUUUCACACCUGGAUAUGCUCAGUCAACCAAGAAUAUAGAGAAAGAGCUUCUGCCCUGAGACGCAGAAAAAAACAUUCUCUGCUCUGCUUCUCUUCACUCUAGAUUUCUUUAGACCCUCAUCUCUGCUUAACAGAUUUGCACGGGGG
rnacentral:lncRNA from 1 species